rnacentral:lncRNA from 1 species
UUAUUUAUUGUAUGAAAUUUAAAAUUGCUCUUUUGGCUUUCCUAAUCUUUCAACCUAAAUCGAGGUGCUAGAGCUAGAUAGAAAGAGUCUCAUGGAGGUUCAGCAGUUGAAGCUCGCGGCUGAAGGCUGAUGGAAGGAUAUUUAUUUGAAGGAACAAAGCACGCGCAGUUAGUGCUGAGCUGACGCGACGACCUAUAAACUCGAUAUGCUUACAGUUGCAGUGGUGCUUCACCGCUCGGCGCUCGCUAUCAGAAAUUUGAUACCAUACCAGGUUCUCCUUAUUCACUUUCUUCUGUCGCUCACAUCAUAUUUUGAAUUGUUUAUAGAAAUUUUGUACACCUUACUAUCUAUUUGUUGAUAUAAACUUCCUGUUUAAUUACUGUACUUGUUUGCUAUGACUAUUAUGAUUAUCCUUCAUGUAUAAUUGUGCGAUUAGAAACUUAUGCCAUGUAAUUAUAAUCAAAUUGUUAUUAUGAACUCGAUGCUAAUUACAUAUAGAGAAAAUAAAUAUAGGAACUUAUUAACACUUUGAAAACCCAAACCAAAGUAGAUAAGCAAUGUAGUCAAACAUUAGGAUCGUAAGGCCGGUGAGAAAUAUUGUAACAUGACUCGUACGAUCCUACUGGAGGGAAAAAUUGUAAUUAUAUAUACACACACAUAAGCAUAAAAUUUAUCAUAUAUAAACUAAAUAAUCUCUAUUUUUAUCAUGACAGUAAAUUAAGUUAAUUAAAAAUGCAUCGUUUAAAAAAAAUUAAAAAUUCAUAACCAUUGCAGUUAAGCUUGAAAUAGAUUGAAAACAGGGGAGGAUGAAAGGACGGCGUCGCAGAGAGAUGGGAGAAUGGUGUUGUACUCGCAGGGAGAUGGAAGAUAGGGUUUCUGUUUGAAGUAAGGAGGGAUGAAGAGUGAAGGGAAGGACUGUUUUCAGCAAGGCCCAAUGCGAAGCAGCUGACCUAACACAAAACACGUUACAAUCCUACUCCUAAUUCGCUAUAUCGACCACAAAGUGCACUUCUAGUGAACUUGUCUGAAUUGCAGCACACGAUCCUACGUGCUGGCACUCAAUCUUGAUUACCAUGGCAGUAGGUGCUAGUACUACCAGUAGUAGUGUAGUUUGUGUUCUCAGUGUUGGUAAGCUCCUAUUUUGCUCUACAUAUGAUUCUUUAGCUUCACAAUUUAAAGAUUAUAGCAUCUCAAUUUAUUCUCCAUGUGACUUGCAUAAUGUUUGUGUUCUAGUUCUAGGGGUAGCAUUUUAAUUAGAUGCCUCUCUUGAUUGAAUAAUCUCAUGCAAAUAUUCAUUUUUGUAAACUGAAGUGGUAAAAUGAAGAUAAGUUGGUUUACGCUUAAGUUAUCAAUGAAAAUCUUUCCUAAACAAUCAACAGAUGAAUUAAUUGAGUUAACUUGAUCAAAUCGACGAUUCAAAUUGCAUCAGUUAAUGGUUAAGCUAACUCCGACAUUUAUCUAUGUUUGUAUCCAUCUUUAUUCUCACUGUGUGUGUUUGAUUCUUGUAAUUUCAAUUAUGCUCAUUCUGUGUUCAUUCAUUACAUCAAUUACAUAUUAUAUUUUUCACAUUCAUACAUUGCAUAUAAUUGCAUCUGGUAUUAGGAAUUCUAUUAUUUUUAAUCAUUGCAAAUUCUUAUGUUAUCCCACUUCUUUGGUCAUAAUUGGAUAAAAUUUGUGUAAUUCGUAAGAAUAUAAUCUCAAUAGAGAUGAUAAUCAACUUGGUGCGACCAAUAGAGUUUAUAUAGGUUUGCAUAUUGCAUGAAAAUUGCAUUAUUCAUAACAUUAAUCUACCGGAAGUCCUAUUCAUCAUUAGUUUUUAUAUACUUUUAUUUAUUUGGAUUUGGUAUAUAAUUAUCUUAUGCAUAUGAAUUGUAACUAGUAUUCACUAGAUUCAAAUAAUGAAGUAAUAUUUAGUGUAAUAAUCGAUUUCGUUGAUGUUGAUGAUAUGAAGGUGAAAGUGAAAAAACAAAAUGUAAAAUAUUCAAAAGCAACUAUAAAAAAUAGAUAAAUAUAGACUUAUGAAUUAACACCAUACAUGUGAAAUUGCACUGGAACAAAAAAUAAGGCUCUUAAUUCAACAUAGAUUGUAUACUUUUUCAUUAACAAAAACUCAAAUACAAAUUAACCACAACAAUAUUUAACAUAAUUCAUUGAAAAAAUUUCAAAUAGCUUUAGACGGAAGCUUAAUACACGGGAGGCGGGGGUGAGUUGUAGAGGUAGGGAUG